rnacentral:rRNA from 1 species
UAGUCCACGCCGUAAACGAUGGUUACUAGCUGUUCGGACUUCGGUCUGAGUGGCUAAGCGAAAGUGAUAAGUAACCCACCUGGGGAGUACGUUCGCAAGAAUGAAACUCAAAGGAAUUGACGGGGGCCCGCACAAGCGGUGGAGCAUGUGGUUUAAUUCGAUGAUACGCGAGGAACCUUACCAGGGCUUAAAUGUAGAUUGACAGGUUUAGAGAUAGACUUUUCUUCGGACAAUUUACAAGGUGCUGCAUGGUUGUCGUCAGCUCGUGCCGUGAGGUGUCAGGUUAAGUCCUAUAACGAGCGCAACCCCUACCGUUAGUUGCUAGCAGGUCAUGCUGAGGACUCUAACGGGACUGCCGGUGCAAACCGUGAGGAAGGUGGGGAUGACGUCAAAUCAUCACGGCCCUUACGUCCUGGGCCACACACGUGCUACAAUGGCCGGUACAGAGAGCAGCCAUGUCGCAAGGCAGAGCGAAUCUAUAAAACCGGUCACAGUUCGGAUCGGGGUCUGCAACUCG